rnacentral:rRNA from 1 species
CGACAGUCUCAGUUCAGAUUGUAGGCUGAAACUCGCCUAUAUGAAGUCGGAAUUGCUAGUAAUCGCGGAUCAGCAUGCCGCGGUGAAUACGUUCCCGGGCCUUGUACACACCGCCCGUCACACCAUGAGAGUCGAUAACACCCGAAGCCUGUAGUCUAACCGUAAGGGGGACGCAGUCGAAGGUGGGAUUGAUAAUUAGGGUGAAGUCGUAACAAGGUACC